UCAAAAUCAUUCUUCAUGCUUACGUUUAUACUUCAGUUUUCGAGUGCUGCUUCAUUCGAUACCUAGCCCGUACAGGCGCAACUGACUACCAUCCCAUGAAUGGAUGAACAGUAUUUUGGUUGCGCCCCUUUACGAUUGUCAUUCGCUUUCGAGAUGAUUCGUCAUCCGCGUUUGGAGUAUGAUUGACGGUCGAGUACUCGGCAGCGGUUCGGUAGCGGUAGUGGACUGAGUGCGCGAUAAUUUCUCCGCCAUUUGUAAGGAACAGACAUGUUCUGUACAACUUGGGAUAGCAGAAAUCUCGGCAGAAAUUUUAUAUUUAAGGAAACUCAACUCGAAGCUGUGCCGGACAGAGGAGUGAGAGCAGAGAUGACGAAUGCAUUCAACGGCCAUCAUCCGCCUUCCGAAAAAUCAAUGGGACCGUGCCUAGGAGCAGCGGCAUCCGCGUCGUUUAUUCUUUUCCAGCCCAGCCAUAAGCAUCCAUUAUUGCUGCACGCCGCGAGCGGGUUUCCCUCUAAUUCGUUUUUCAUUGAAAGUAUGUAUAUUCAAUGUUAAAAACUGGUUAAUAAAUACUACUGGAAAAUUAUAAACUAUGU